rnacentral:rRNA from 1 species
UACGGGGGGAGCGAGCGUUAUUCGGAUUCAUUGGGCGUAAAGGGUUCGUAGGCGGUCUGUUUAGUCAGAGGUGAAAUCUAACGGCUCAACCGUUAACCUGCCUUUGAAACUGGCAGACUUGAGUAUUGGAGAGGAAAGCGGAAUUCUUGGUGUAGCGGUGAAAUGCGUGGAUAUCAAGAGGAACACCCGUGGCGAAGGCGGCUUUCUGGCCAAAUACUGACGCUGAGGAACGAAAGCUAGGGGAGCAAACGGGAUUAGAUACCCCCGUA